rnacentral:sRNA from 1 species
AUGUGGGGAAAGGCCACAUGGCACAGUACAGCAAAGCCACGGGACUGUUGGGAAGGUUUCAGGAGGUGGCAUUGGACUGAGGCAGGAAGCAAACUGGGGCAAGAGUGUUUCACCCAGGCUGAAGGAACUGAAGGAACGGCAGGCUUUGAAGGUUCACAGCAACUACUUAAGAAGCCAGGACACGGAUCCAGAAAGGUAAAAGAUCUCGUCCAAAAGCCACUACAUCAUUCCAGGGGGCAGUGUUAGGUUUUAGAAUGUUUGUUCUCCCUCCCCAGGGUGGCUUCUGCUUUUCCGACCCUGUCAACUGGAUGUUUUCAUGUGAACUUACGGGCCCAAUGGAAUAUGGAUAAAGAUGGCUGGGAGCUGAGGGCACAUGCCUAUGAUCUCCCCCUUCGGAGGGAGAAGCGGGAAGAUUAGGAGUUGGGAAGCCAGACUAUAUCAGAGUUCCUUAUAAACAAAAAUAAAACAAAACAUGACACGCACCACGUCCGGGUCAGGACACGGUUUAACCAUGCCUUUCUUCUCUCUUUGCUGCAAGGGGAAAAUAUCCCAGCAGUGCUCCGGUGAGCACUGAACGUGAACUAGAGUCAGAGGUAGACCCAGCACGGACAGUAACAUUGAGAAGGACGCGGCCUGUUUCAUUAAAUCAAAGCUGACUGCAUAGUGGUGGCAUUUGGAUUAAUUCCAGACCUUCUGAAGGUGUGCUUUCUACAUCGGCUUGUCUUCCAUACAGACAGUACUGAGCUCAUACCCCUGUGUACCCGAACCUGUUCCUGUGAGUUACCUUCUUCCUAAAGUGACAUUUGAGGUCAAAAUGUAUGCCCUCCUCGACAACAGCUAAGUUUGACUUAUGGGAAAUUUACGAAUAUAACACAGAGGUUGUUUGGCAGUAAAGGAGAAUAGAGCUACAGCGUGGAUGAACCGUGACGAGUAGGUGGAGGGAGUCACAAAGCCCACCUGAUCUACGAGUCCAUUGGUGUACAAUGUCCAGAUUAGGCAAAUGUACAAGAACAGAAGGUAGUCUGGUGGCUGCAGGGGGCCUGAGGAAGAUGGGUGUAAGAAGUGGCUGCUUAACGGAGCCCGGUUUCCUCUUGAGGUGAUAAAAAUGUUCUGCAGUUAGAUGUGCAGGCGGUGGUUGCCCAACUCUGAGAGUAUCAUAAAAUCAUUGAAUUGUACAAUUUAAGAGGAUGGGGUUUAUGGCACAUAAAUUAUAUCCCAGUAGAGCUGGAUUCUAAGAGAAAACAGUACAUCGAGUUCUGUGUACCCCUUGCCUAAGUUUCCCUAAUGCUCUCAAUGGGGAAUGACUGGACAAAUUGUACCACAGUUGUACUGUGGAAUAUUAAAAAUGCAGAACAGCA